rnacentral:rRNA from 1 species
GCCUAAUACAUGCAAGUCGAGCGAGCGGAACCAACAGAUUUACUUCGGUAAUGACGUUGGGAAAGCGAGCGGCGGAUGGGUGAGUAACACGUGGGGAACCUGCCCCUAAGUCUGGGAUACCAUUUGGAAACAGGUGCUAAUACCGGAUAAUAAAGCAGAUCGCAUGAUCAGCUUUUGAAAGGCGGCGUAAGCUGUCGCUAAGGGAUGGCCCCGCGGUGCAUUAGCUAGUUGGUAAGGUAACGGCUUACCAAGGCGACGAUGCAUAGCCGAGUUGAGAGACUGAUCGGCCACAUUGGGACUGAGACACGGCCCAAACUCCUACGGGAGGCAGCAGUAGGGAAUCUUCCACAAUGGACGCAAGUCUGAUGGAGCAACGCCGCGUGAGUGAAGAAGGUUUUCGGAUCGUAAAGCUCUGUUGUUGGUGAAGAAGGAUAGAGGUAGUAACUGGCCUUUAUUUGACGGUAAUCAACCAGAAAGUCACGGCUAACUACGUGCCAGCAGCCGCGGUAAUACGUAGGUGGCAAGCGUUGUCCGGAUUUAUUGGGCGUAAAGCGAGCGCAGGCGGAAAAAUAAGUCUAAUGUGAAAGCCCUCGGCUUAACCGAGGAACUGCAUCGGAAACUGUUUUUCUUGAGUGCAGAAGAGGAGAGUGGAACUCCA